rnacentral:rRNA from 1 species
UAAGGAAUAUUGGUCAAUGGACGCAAGUCUGAACCAGCCAUGCCGCGUGGAGGAUGAAGGUCCUCUGGAUUGUAAACUUCUUUUCUCUGGGGCGAAAAAAGCCCAUUCCUGGGCACUUGACAGUACCAGAGGAAUAAGCACCGGCUAACUCCGUGCCAGCAGCCGCGGUAAUACGGAGGGUGCAAGCGUUAUCCGGAUUCACUGGGUUUAAAGGGUGCGUAGGAGGGCAGGUAAGUCAGUGGUGAAAUCCCCGAGCUUAACUUGGGAACUGCCGUUGAUACUAUCUGUCUUGAAUAUUGUGGAGGUAAGCGGAAUAUGUCAUGUAGCGGUGAAAUGCUUAGAUAUGACAUAGAACACCAAUUGCGAAGGCAGCUUACUACACAAUCAUUGACUCUGAUGCACGAAAGCGUGGGGAUCAAACAG